UACGAGGGGGGCGAGCGUUGUUCGGAAUUAUUGGGCGUAAAGGGUGCGUAGGCGGUUCCGCAAGUCCUGUGUGAAAUCUAUGGGCUCAACUCAUAGUCUGCAUCGGAAACUGCCGGGCUUGAGUGUGGGAGAGGUGAGUGGAAUUCCUGGUGUAGCGGUGAAAUGCGUAGAUAUCAGGAGGAACACCUGUGGCGAAAGCGGCUCACUGGACCAUAACUGACGCUGAUGCACGAAAGCUAGGGGAGCAAACAGG
rnacentral:rRNA from 1 species